GACGAACGCUGGCGGCGUGCCUAAUACAUGCGAGUAGAACGCUGAAGAGAGGAGCUUGCUCUUCUUGGAUGAGUUGCGAACGGGUGAGUAACGCGUAGGUAACCUGCCUUGUAGCGGGGGAUAACUAUUGGAAACGAUAGCUAAUACCGCAUAACAAUGGAUGACACAUGUCAUUUAUUUGAAAGGGGCAAUUGCUCCACUACAAGAUGGACCUGCGUUGUAUUAGCUAGUAGGUGAGGUAAUGGCUCACCUAGGCGACGAUACAUAGCCGACCUGAGAGGGUGAUCGGCCACACUGGGACUGAGACACGGCCCAGACUCCUACGGGAGGCAGCAGGAGGGAAUCUUCGGCAAUGGGGGCAACCCUGACCGAGCAACGCCGCGGGAGUGAAGAAGGGUUUCGGAUCGUAAAGCUCUGUUGUAAGUCAAGAACGGGUGUGAGAGUGGAAAGUUCACACUGCGACGGUAGCUUACCAGAAAGGGACGGCUAACUACGUG
rnacentral:rRNA from 1 species